UACGUAGGGUGCGAGCGUUGUCCGGAAUUAUUGGGCGUAAAGAGCUCGUAGGCGGUCUGUCGCGUCGAUCGUGAAAACUUGGGGCUUAACCCUGAGCUUGCGGUCGAUACGGGCAUGACUGGAGUUCGGCAGGGGAGACUGGAAUUCCUGGUGUAGCGGUGAAAUGCGCAGAUAUCAGGAGGAACACCGGUGGCGAAGGCGGGUCUCUGGACAGUUACUGACACUGAGGCACGAAGGCCAGGGGAGCAAACGGG
rnacentral:rRNA from 1 species